rnacentral:lncRNA from 1 species
UAGAAAAAUAUUCUUUUGAAAAUUAUUUAAAUUUUUUUUUGGAGGCUCGGAUGGUGUAUGCCAUAUAGCAAUAAGAUAUUAGAACGCGAACACCGACUUGGUAGCAACUCCGGUGGCCAAUCAUGUUGCUUCCUGAAGCACAAACAUUCACAUUCUCGUCUUUUAUUUUUCCUUUGGCUUUCGUCAUCGCCUCAUAAAUGUAUUUUGGUUUCAGAUCCGAGGGACGGUGUAGUAACAUGUCCUUUAUCAGUCAAAAUUCAUCACAAGGCCUCAAAAAUUUUGUUCUCAUCGACCUAAUUUAACAACGCAGUAUCUCAUUCAAAUCAGUCAAGGUCCACUACGAAGGAUCAUCGAAACAAAUAGUGAGGCAAGAACAAACACUGCAAAAUUCUCGAAACAUAAAUCGUCAAAAUACAGUAGGCAACAGUCCAAAAUAGGCAGCAUCGUCACAAAUUACAACAGUUGAACGAAUCCAAAGGACAAAGAAAUACAAAGAUAAUUAUUUAGCAAAAUCUUUUGCCUUUGGUACAAAUUCGAGCAAACGAAUAGGAAGUAAUAUGGUGAGUUUAAUGAACCACUUUCAGCAACACAACAUAGGCAACAUUAGGCAGAAUAAUAAACAUGUCAAAUCCCUCACAAAGUCUAUCAUUAGCAUAUAGAACAACAACGAAAAGGGGUUGCCAGAAAAACGUCAAUCCGGCCAGAAUAACCAACAGCAGCAAUGGUAUCACAAUGUCACUAUAACCAAAUAAGCCACACAAAAUAAUGAACGCAUCACAAAAGAAAGGAGGUUCGCCAGAGAUCUGGCUAAAUAACAAAGGUUGACACCGAACGACGAAAAGCAAUGGUUGUUGGCGUUACUUCCACGGUGAACGCCAGAGUAACGCCUAACGUCAAAGAAGUCACCGACGUUAGCUUCAUUUCCGGCCAGAUUCAAAAAAUCCCAAACCUCUCCUUUUUUGAUAGCCUAUAAGAAGGAAGAAAAAGGAGAGUGAGUAACGGAAGAUGGCGAAAAUAGAGGUCCAAAUCUUCCGCUUUCCAUGGAGGAAGCCGGUGUUUGAGUUUUCGGAUAUAUCGAAAGCCAACGAGAUCGAACACUCAAAGCUAACAAACGAUUAGGAAAAUGGGUAAAUGGGGAUGACUGCUAGCGAUGGCUGCUGGUGGCUGGCCGGCUAAGAAAAUAGGGGGAGGGAGGAGCUUGGUGGUAGAUCUCUCAAGUGAGACAGAAGAUGGAGCUCUCAAAGGGGUUAGCGUCUGUUCUCCAUUUUGGAUAAUGAUAGAAUGAAAAAUAUUUAGGGUUUCUCCUAUAAAAAUGUGAUGGGAUUGUGUUUGUGUAGUGUAAUGACCCGACCGGUCAUUUUGAGCUCUAUCAAGUCGUUCAGCGGUUUGAGGCCUUGAGUAGCUUCACUUCAGGUAUAUUGACUUGUACAUGUUGUCGGAAUUGAAUUUCGGAAAAUUCUGAGUUGAUUUGGAAUGAAAAUUCUAAUUUUGGAAGCUUUAAGUUGGAAGAAUUGACUAAGGUGUGACUUUUGAGUAAACGACCUCGGAAUCGGGAUUUAAAGGUUCCAACAGGUUCGUAUUAUGAUUUUGGUCUUAAGAGCAUAUCCUGAUGUUGAUUUGGAGGUCCAUAGGUCAUUUCGGCGUCAAUUGGUGAAAGUUAAAAAUUUGAUAAUUUUUGGAAAGUUUGAAAGGGAGUGAAUUUUUUGAUAUCAGGGUCCAAUUCCGAUUAUGGACAUGGGAGUAGGUCCGUAAUAUCAAUUAUGACUUGUGUGCAAAAUUUGAGGUCAAUCAGACUUGAUUUGACAGGUUUCAGCGGCAGAUGCGCAGAAGCGGACAUGGUCCAUAGGAGCGCGUGCACAGAAGCGCCUCUUGGCCGCAGAAGCGGAAGCACAGAUUCGCAUUUGGGUCCAUAUAUGCGGACGUGCCUGGACUAAGUUAGGACCACACCUGUGAUGAAAAUUCCGCAGGUGCGGCUGGUGUUCCGCAGAUGUGGAAAGUUGGAUGGGCAGAGCUUCAAGGGGAGAUUUUCAUCAAGCAACACAAGCUAAGUGAUUCCCACUAAAUACAUGGUUUGUAUAAGGAUUUAAACAUGGAAAUUAGUAGAAAUUGGGGGGGUUUUGGUAAAAAAACCUAGAAUUUAUAUUUUUGGAAAUUGACCACGAAAUUAGACAUGGAAUUUGGAAUAAGUUAUAUAUUUUAGUUCGUGGUGUUAUGGGUAAAGUUUACCUUCAAAAAUUUUCAGAAUUCGGCAACGUGGGCCCGAGGGUUGGUUUUAUAGACUUUUCGAACGGAGUUGGAAAUUUGGUUAAAUUGAUUAAUUAGGGGUAUUAGAGUAUCUUUUGAUUGGUUUGCACAUUAUUUGAAUAGUUUUGGAUCGACGAGAUUUGGUUUGGGGUGUUUGAGGGGCGUUGGAGCCAGUUAUGGAACUUCGGAGCGAGGUAAGUAUCAUGUCAAAUUCUGUGAGGGGAAAACUACCCCUAGGUGAUCUAUUUGUUAUGUGUUACUUAUUGCGGGGGCUACGUACGCACAAGGUGACGAGAGUCUGUGCAUAGCUAGAUUCAUAUCACGUCCGGGUAGACUUAGGUUCACACCAUGCUAUAGCUAUACUACUUGAGUUGUCUCCUGCUUAUUAAAUUCCUUUAUUUUACGUUACGACAUGAGACUAGACUUGUGUAGAGUAAUGGACUUAAUAAUGUAGAGAUUUGAUGGGAUUCAUGAUUAGCUGCUAUAUAAUUAUACUCCUCUUACGAAUUCCUCCCGCGUUAUGCGUUCUUAUAAAUAAGUUUCCCUUACAAAUUUAUAACUCACACGUCUAUUCGUGAGUGGGGUCAAGGACCCAUCAAAGCUUCUUAUUCUAGUGAGAUCGGGCCAUUUGCCUCGGCAGGAUAGAUACAUCUGUGGUUCGUGCCGUUCGAUCCUCGGCAGUUGCAUACUAUGAUGGAUCGGGCCGCACGCCUCGGCAGGAUUAUGUACCACACUCUCAUGGGAGCGGGCCAUUUGCCUCGGUAAUAAAAUAGAUGUAUCUAUGGUUCGAAAAUAUUAUGAUGGAUCGGGGCGUACGCCUCGGCAUUUUUAUAAAAUAUUCUUAUGAAGUCGUGCAUAAUAGUUGGCAAGAAGCCAGCAUAUCUGUGAGCUUUUCCUGAUUGAACUGUGACGACCUAUUUGGUAAGGACCAUUAUAUAUAUACUCCAAUUGAGGAGGUAGCUACUAGCUGAGAGUUUGAGUUAUUGCUGAAAGGAGGAUUGUACCACGUGUUAUACUUGUUAUUUCGCUUAUUUACUUUGUCUCGCACCUGUUUACUUCUAUUGUAUCUGUCUUAUUAGACAACUAGUAAGUGUCGAUGUCGACCCCUCGUCACUACUUCUCUGGGGUUAGGCUAUAUACUUAUUGGGUAUGUAUUGAUUUACGUACUCAUACUACACUUGCUGCACUUUUUGUGCAGGUACAUAUAUGUCUGAUGGUCUUUUGGGCGCAACGGCGCAGCUGUUGCGGGGACUUUACUGUGAGCUACAUUCCAUGUCACACUCCGCAGCCUACAGAAUCCCUAUUAGAGUUAUUUAUAUUUUCCUGUCUAAUUUGUAUUCUAGACAUAUGUUGUAUUUUAUUAUAUUUUCUAAUUGAUGCUCAUGCACUUAUGACACCGGGUUUUGGGGGUUUCCUUCUGGGUACGCAUUAUGAUGGUUCUUGUAAACAUUUUUUAUUUACUUUGUAAAUUCUAUUUUAUACUGUUCAAUUAAGGAAAAAUUAUGAUUUUAAAAUACUAUAAUGAGUAGUUAAAUUUGUAAAUCACCGUUGGUUUGCCUGACGGUGGCGUUAUGCGCCAUCACGACCUAUAGUGGAUUUUGGGUUAUGACAGCUUGGUAUCAAAGCGUUAGGUUCACUUAGGUCUCACGAGUCAUGAGCAAGUCUAGUAGAGUCUUGCGUAUCGGUACAGAGACAUCUGUACUCAUUUUCGAGAGGCUACAGGGCUGUUAGGAGCACUUUCCUUCUUGAUUUCCUCAUCGUGCAGUUUGAUUCCAUUGAUUCUUGUGCCUUUAUUUCCUUCCUACUCUAUCUUACGCGACGGGGAGCGCCUGUUGUCAAUUGGGUGUCGAGGAGUUGUAUUGUUUCUACAGACAUGGUGCGGGAUGUUUUCCCUGCGUGUUCAGACAUGUUAUUAUUUAUAUUGGUCAAAAAUAUAAGAAGGUCAAGUUACAUCGAUGUCAUGUCGCAUCAAUGUCUAGUUACAUAAAUGUCUUGUCAGAUCAUAUGUUGACGGGACAUUCAAUUUGACCGGACUUGAUUCGUAUUUUUGUAUUAAAUUCUACUGGCUUCCGUGUAAUUAAUAGACUAUGCUAUAUAAGAAAAAUGUUUAUUUAAUCAAUAAAUAUUGUAGUAUUUAUUUAAAAUUGUAACUACUUCGAUGACGUAGUAAUUAUUAUUUUUAUUUUUUGAAAAGAUAAUGAAUUGAUAGAAUAUCCUAAUAUUUGAUAAAUAGGACAAUCAUCAAUAAAUUGUUCGAAGUUUAGAAAAAUGCACCAAAAAUUGUAGCAUUUAACUAAUUGCAAUAAAUGAUAGAAAUUUCCAUAUUUUUUAAAAAUAGGAAUAAUUAUCAAUAAAUUGCAUUAUAGUUAAAAAUGUGAAAAAUGCUAUAUUUUAUUAUUUUUUGACAAGGAAGCCUGCAAAAUUUAAUUUUUAAAUACGGAGGGUCAAAACUGAGUGUCAAUAACUCCCCCUCUUUAUGACCGAACUCUGGUAUUUGAGUUGCCUACAUAUCUCGGGUUGAACGAAAAUCAGGUCGCGUGUAGUUCUGAGAUGUUGACUACUACUUAUGAAUCGUAGCAUCAUGGAGUGGCAGACGAAUGUUCGAGGACGAAAAGGUUUGUGUGAUCUCGACAUUGCUUCCAAGAUUUCCCCAAUGUCAGACUGUGAUAACACGGGACGUGAAUGUUGAAUAAUGGAUGGAUCGAUUUGAAUGGAUUUCGAUGCGGAUGCGGUCGGGCACUGUGUUGAGUUUUCCUACAUAUCUCGGAUGUAACGAGAAUCAGAUCGGUUGUAGUUCGGGAAGGCGAUGGGAUGAUUUUUGAUUUUGAAAGUUGACCCAGCGUCAAGCUGUGACAAUACUAGGUGUUUUAUUUGAUUAUGGGGGUUCAGAUUUCCUACACACCCCAUGCCAAUAGGAAAUAAGAACGAUAUUUGGGAUAUGACGUCGAUUGCUGUUGGAAAGCUCGACGUCUGUCCUCAAAAUCUACCCCAGUUUGUUGAUAGAAGAUAAUUCCAUGUUGUGUUGCCUCUUUGAUCAGUAGAGUUGACGAGGUGUGGACUAUGCUUCCAUUUGAUUUGAGAAAGAUGGAUAUGUGAUUGUUUGAAUGAAAUUGGGUCCCGGGUUGGAACUCUAAUUUGAAAGGGACCUGGGCUAGAUACUGGUCCGAAGUGAUUGGAGCACUUUAAUUUUUGAAGGAAAUUCGGAAUGUGUACCGGUUCAAAGUGAUCACUUUAAUUUCUGAAAGAAAAUCCGAGCUGAAUACCGGUCCGAAGUGAUCGGAGCACUUGAUUGUAAACCGACUGGUAGUUACAGUUCCAAACGAUAUCGGAGCAUUUAAAUCUACAAUACCCGUAUUGGAAGGUGGGCUCCUGUAAAAUUAAAUUUGAAAUAAAAUGCCCAUUGUUCAGGAGGGCGCCUGGAAAAUGAUAAAAAAAAAGGUUCUGUUAUUAAUGACUCAGGCAGGCAAUAGAUGCAAAAGAUAGAAUUUAAAAUGAUAUGGCCGGGUCUGACUAAGACUGCCUACGUAUCCAAUCGGAAUUAGGCCAAAACGUAGUUCAAUUACAAAAGAUGACUGAAUUCGAUGUAGAUUGCCUACGUAUUCCUACCAAAGAAAAUCAAGUCGAGGCGUAGUUCCGAAUAUAUAUAGAAAUGAAUUUUUUUGUUUUCUAUUAUAAGAGUGGGACUGCACCCUACGUGGGUUGCCUACAUACCCCCUUUCCCCCGUGGGAAGUCAGGUCGGGCGUAGUUCUGUUACAACAAAACCUAACCCUACUGUCAAUAAAACUUGACUCUUUCUGUUUUUUGUGUCUUUUGCUGUUUUGUAGAUUUUUGUAAAGAAUAUUUGAAAAUUUGAGAAGUAAAGAAACAUUGUGAUUUAUUGAUCAAUUAUCUUUUGACUUGACUUUGGCUGGUACCAACAAUUAGCUUUGUACAUAGUAAUUUUCACCAUAUACAUUCAGACAAACCGAGAUCAGCUUAUGGGUAAUUCCUAUAGCUUUGAGUGGUACCUCAUGUAUACCUAUGUUCGACAAGAUUUCUUCGUCUUGCUUCAAUCAAAGGUUUUGAAUUCUUCCUAACCCAUAUUUCAAGUACCCUCACCACAAAGAAGUCCUAAGUUUCAUACAUAUUUGAAGUAUUUUUGUAUUUUGACUUUAGGACAUUUUGCGAAACACACUCACACUCAGAAUGACAUUCAAUGCAAGCGAUUGAGAUACCAUAUGCUUGACUUUCAUAUGAGUAUCCACUAAUAUGAGAAAACUUAGAGUAGGAUCACGUGGGGCUUUGCUCAUUAGCUUGUAAUGUAAGCUUGGGGACGCGUAGGAUAUUCAUUUGGGGAUAAAAGUGACUAAUCCACCAUGAGCAAUGCAUCCGUAUUUUCGGAGUUCAAACCAUGCUUCGACGCUUGAUCUUGUUCGGCUCGAUGUCAUUUUCUUUGCUUUGACUUCUUUUGAAUUUGUAGGAGAUUCUUCUUCCUUUUCAGAGGUUUUUCCUUUUCUUUUCCUUUUUUCAUUUGAAGUUUCUCCUGCUUUGCAGGAGUUGUUCCUUUUUUUUUACUGGAGUUCCUCGUAUUUGAAUUUGUGGAGUUUUCUUCUCUUUUUUUUUUUCGAAUCUGCGGAAAUUGUUUCCUUCUUAUUGGGUCCUCCUUUUAGAUUUGCGGAGUUUCCUCUUUCUUUUUCUGAAGUCAUAUCUUUGGUUGUCUUGGACUUUGCAUCUUUUGCCUUUUUAUACUCGUCACCUUCACUUUGGCCUUCGUCCGAAGUUAUACGUUUUCAGUGCGCUCGAGGAGGUUGGGCCAAGAGAGGGGUAAUGCAUUUAGCACCAAAAAAUGUAUGGGCUAAGAUGUGGUUGUCAAAGAAAAGGCUUAAGGCUCAAAGGGGGGAAACGCUAGGGAAUGACGUCAUUUGGUAGGCUAGUAAGGCUCUAUCGGGUCAAAGAAGGCCUACGAUGCUUUCCCAAACCAAGCGUUACUCAGAAUUUCGCCUCAACAGACAUUCAGGCCAAGUUAUAGAUCUGCAAUGCAAUGUAAUGAAUUCUAAUCUAGGCUCACCACACAAUGCAUAUGAAACAAUGAGGUCGACUUUGUUCUUACCCUAACUGUUGGCAUGAGAUUCUUUCAAAUGUCACUAAGGUAAAAUUGGGAGGUACCGCAAGAGUCUAUGGUUUACCUGAAGCUGAUCCUCUCAGUCAUACCACUUAAAUAUUUGUUCUUUCUCAUGCACACUCCUAACUAUGUUGGCACCAAGCAAGUCAAUAUUUGAUGAUUUUUUCUUACCCUUUUUUUUUUAUUUUGAUAAAUAGGACCAAAGUCAAAGGAAAGUUUCCCCUCUUCUUUUUUUGAUAAGAGGAAGGGUGCCCUUUAUUUUUUGGAUUUUUGGAUUUCGACUUAGCAAUAAUUUUUUGAAUUUUUGACUUAAUCAAUUAUUUGUGAUUUUGAAAAAAUGAGAUCGAAGCCAAAGGUUGCCUACAUAUCUCGUUGAAAUGAGAAUCAUGUCAAGCGUAGUUCAGGAAGGGUGGAAAGAAAAUAUUUUUAAAUUUUUAUUUCAUUUUGUUUUUUGAAUUUUUUAAUUAAUCAAUUUUUUGUGAUUUUUUAUGGAGAGAACUGAAUAUAAAAUGGGCUUUGUAGUUACCGUUCCGAUGCGAUAUUAGAGCAUUGAAAGUUAGACGGGCUUUGUAGUUACCAUUUCGUAUAGGAGCAUGGACAGGAAAGUAAAAUGACGGGCUGUGUAUCGUUCCAUAUAGGAGCAUUGUUAGUACGGGGUUGGGUACCGUACCGUUUAGGAGCGCUGACAGAAAAGUAAAAUGACGGGUUGUGUACCAUUUCCUAUAGGAGCAUUAUUAGUACGGGGUUGGGUACCAUUUCAUUUAAGAGCGCUGACAUGAAAGUAAAAUGACGGGCUUUAUUUCCAUAUAGGAGCAUUAUUAGUAUGGGGCUGGGUACCAUUCCAUUUAGGAGCGCUGAUAAGAAAGUAAAAUGACGAGUAGUGUACCGUUCUGUGUAGGAGCAUUGAUUGUUAGACGGGGCUGGGUACCGUUCCAUUUAGGAGCACAUACAGGAAAGUAAAAUGACGGGUUGUGUACUGUUCCGUAUAGGAGCAUUGAUUGUACGGGGCUGGGUACCGUUCCGUUUAGGAGCGCUGACAUUAAAAGUAAAUGACGGGUUGUAUACCAUUCCGUAUAGGAGCAUUGUUAGUACGGGGCUGGGUACCCAUCCGUUUAGGAGCAUUGUUAGUUCGAGGCUAGGUACCGUUCUAUUUAGGAGCACAGACAUGAAAGUAAAAUGAUGGGUUGUGUAUCGUUUCAUAUAGGAGCAUUGUUAGUACGGGGCUGGGUACCAUUCCGUUUUGGAGUGCUGACAGAAAAGUAAAAUGACGGGUUGUGUACCAUUUUGUAUAUGAUCAUUGAAUAUUAGAUGGGCUGUGUACCGUUCCGAUGCGAUAUCGGAGCAUAGACGGGAAUGAAAAUCUCCGCACGAUGGGAGUGACAAGAAAGAAAAAUCUCUGCAUGAUGGGAGUAUUUUUUUUUUUAAAAAAAAAGAUCGAACCCGAGAAUGGUCCUUGAUGGAUGAUUGUUGUUUGAUUUUUUGAAAAAUAAGACCGAACCCGAAGGUUGCCUACGUACCUUGUCGAAACGAGAAUCAGGUCAGGUGUAGUUCGGGAAGGUUAGAGACAAAUGGGAGAUGUUUUGGAUUUUUUCUUUGAAUUUCCUCAAGGGAAAAGAAUUAUAUUUUAGAUUUUGAUAUUGAUGUCUCACAGGGAGACUUUUAGAGCAGCAACAGAGGAAGAUGUAUAUGUGUUUAAUUUUGAUUUUUUUGAAAUGAUCUUUUCGCAAAGAUCUUCGUUCAACUGUGACCCAAGUGGCCAGGCUUGACCUAGUCGUCCAGUUAAGGAUGAGAAAAAUCGGAACCAUGACAGGUUGCCUACGUGUCUUGACACGAGGUCAAGAAUAAGGCAUACGUAGUUCAUGAAGAUUAAGGAUAGAGGAAGAUUUUUCGGACUUCAUUGAAUUUCCUCAAGGAGGAAUUAUGCGGGGGUAUGUUUUUGGAUUUAAAUUUUCCUUUGAUGUCUACAGAAAGACUUCGAAGCAACAAAGGAGAUUAUAUACAUAUUGUUUUUAUUAUUUCAGAGAUGACCCUUUCGCAAGGAUCUUCGGUUAACUGUGACCCAAGUGGACAGACAUGAUCGACUCGUCCAAUUAAGGACGAGAAACACCGGACCCAUGACGGGUUGACUACGUAUCUUGACACAAGGUCAAGAAUCAGGUACGCGUAGUUCGUGAAGAUUGGAGAGUAUGAGGUAUGAAUUUCAACACUUCUUUUACUCUCCUAUUUCAAGGCAUUUCAACUAACUAUAUUAAUUGCAUCAAAGAUAUGUAUGAAAUGCAAGAGUAUAGACAAACUCAGAGCGAUUCCUCGUUGUACCCAUGAUUGGGUGUGGUAUCUCUGGAGUUAAAGAGAUUUUUCCUCCAGAAGAUGUGCCCCAGCGUCUCCUUCGAAUAGUUUCCUCGAUGCCCAUGACUGCUUGCGAGACAAUUGUUGUGGUUGUCUCCCAAUUAACUUGAGGGAUGUUUUGUUGCGACCUUCCAGCUGUCCAUAUGAUCCUUUUGGUGAUUACACUCAGCUAUUAGCCGGGGCAAUUAUCUGAUGCAUAUAUAGAAAUAUAGUAAGAGUAGUGUCGUCACAAAAUGAUGGAAUCAAGAAUGGUAACUAACACUCCCCUGUUUGUUCGGUUGAUGUUCCAUAGUGUCCGAUAUCGGAUGCUAUUUACCGUGCAGUCUCUAGAAUGAUAGAACUUUCGGCUGUCCACAUGAAUUAUUUGACGAUCAUCCCCGGUUGACAACCGAGAACGAGGUUAUGAUCUGAAUAUAAAAAAGUGGUGAGAGCAGUGAAGUCACGAAAAAUUAUGGAGUUCAUUGUAAAACUAUUACUCCCCUAAUUAUAUGACUGAUGCUCCACCAAGUCCAAGACCAAAUGUUAUCUCCCGUGAAGUGCCCGGGAUGAUGUACCUGCAAAACUAAACGGAGAAAAUGUUAGAGUCCCUACAGAAAAAUAUUACAUAAUUGAGAGGGUGCGGAGUUAGGUCGUGCAGCUAGUGGUGUAUCCGAUUGUGAUUGGGAACACGAUGUCAACAUUCCUUGAUAGUUUCAGAGAUGAUGUUGUCCCUUCUGCGUCCAAAGAAAAAUUCUUAGUUCGAGGGAGGGAAGUUGAUUCAUGUUGACCUGAGGCUUUGCUCGUUCUUCUUUUUUUGUCCGAGUCAUGCGGGAAUGACACUCCUCGAAGGGUGACUAACAACAUUCCCCUGUAACAAAACGGGUUGACUUGUAUCGAAUAUCUGAAUUUGGAAAGUGGGAGUGGACAUCAUGACUCCACUGCCAGAUGUUUGAAGAAAGGAUUUGCAUCCCAUAUGUUGGGAUUUAAGUCGAGUGAUGGUUAGAGCAAAGUUGGCAUGGUAUUUUGAUUUUUGGAUUUUUGGUGAAAUUUGGUUGACGCUCUCGGAGAUUUCUGGGUUGAGAGCAUCAUUGCACUGUUCCAAAAGAAUUGCCUCAAUUUCUAGUACUAAGAAAAUUAUUUUGAAACAGUAGGGAGACUGAACCCUUAUGUAGGGUUGCCUACGAAUCUUGCCAAGGCAAGAAUCAGGUCAAAAUGUAGUUCGGGCUAACUACUGGAACUAAGAGAUCUAUAUGGUUAUCAAGAAUAAGUGAUUGUACUUUAAGAGAAAUUGCGAUUAUGAAUAAGAACUCUUGGCUAGGUGCGUGAAGAUUGGUAACUCCUGAAUAAGAGAUAGAUGAUGGCAUAACGCAUGGAUCUGUUUUAAAUUACGGUAGUCAGUGGAAAUGUGAAGUCUAAUUGAGAAGGACAUGUCAAAUCAGUGGAAGAUGUACCAAGUCGAAUUGAUGUAUUUUUGGGAAAAGAUGAUAUAGUCCAAAGGAUGGUAUGAUUAUAAUGGAUAUUCAUAAAGACCGGAAUGGAUAUGUGUAUUUGAAAGAUCAAGAUUCAACACAAAUCAACCAGUGUUUAGUCAGACAAAGAGAACCUAACAGUAGGUAACAAGUAGAAGGCACAUGUAACAGAUAAAGAAUACAUAACAAUAGCAUAUAGAGAAUACAUACCACAUAAGAAAGGGUAACCUACAAAGAAUAUGUAACUAGUAGCAGAUCUGGAAUAACUAAUCCAGCUAAAACAAGUUGCAACAUCAUAUGUACAGUGACCUAGGAAUUCUAAGAGUAGAUUUACCUAGAUUCGAGAAUGAGUUAAGGACAACUGUGAGAUGGUACGUAGUUAACCUCGUCUGCCAAUCUUUAAAACUAGAGAGUUUUGAAAGAAAGUUCGGAGGGGUAUAAAGACAACCCUCGCGUAACUUGUGUGUGAUUGUGUACGACCAAGAGCCAAUAGAAAAGUGAUGACAAUUCAAUAUGGCAGUACCAAAGCAUGUGAUAAAGAAUAUACAACCUGGGCAUCUAUGAAAGCAUAUACAACGUGAUCAUGAUAAAGCAUAUACGGCCUGAAGCACAUAACAGAGAAUACAUGACUUGAAGCACGCAACAGAGAAUAUGCAGCUUGAAGCACGUGACGAAGAAUACACAACUCAAGGAAAAUGACAAAGAAUAUACCUCUUGAACAUCAUGACAAGGAAUAGACCCCAUUGAAGCAUGCGGCGAAGAAUAUACGACAUGUAUCAGAGAACAUACAACUUGAAGCAUGCGACAGAAAGAAUGAAAGUUGGAGUAUUAGAGAACCUAUAAUCCCUCAAGUAAUUGAUCGAAUCCGCUGUGGUUAGAACCUGAAGUUUCCCCAGCAGAGUCGCCAUGUUGUUGAACACUAUUUUGCAUGAGACAAAACAAGCUACAACUAAUAAUACUCUACAAGGUUGAUUAAAGUUUAGAGUCUCCACCCAGCAUUUAAGGUAUACUAGGACACCUAUACUACACUAUAUAAUGUACACUAAAUUAUGAUAUGUGAAACCAUUGAGAUUCUAGGUAAGGGUUCAAGUUAUCUCGAGGGGAAGGUGUUAGACAUGCCUCAAGAUCCACAAAUGUGAUUCCUGUGAACUCGAUCAAAUAAGGGAGAUUCAAGUAAAUACUCACUACUAUUCACAAAGAAUUCAAAUAAGAGGGUUAUUAACAUAUAUCCAAAUGAAUAAUUAAAUACAUAAUAGAUCAUGUGCAAAUAAAAUAUGUCAUUGACUUUGUGUUUUGAAAACGAAAUGAUUAAGAUAUAUUGAAUCAUAUAGAAUACAUUAAGUGUAAAAAGAGUUAUAUUUUGAAAGAAUAGACUAAGUGUGAAAAUUAAUUUCGACAAAGAAUGAUUAAAUAUGUAACAAAAUAUGCAACAAGAAUGGAGUAUGAAAAGUAUUAAAUAUAUAUUAAAGAAUUGUAUCGUAGUGUGAGUUGAAUAAUAUAAAAGAACUGUACUUAAAAACUACAUAUUGGCUUGAAGAAUUUAAACAAAGAUUCAAAUUUCCCAAGAAUAAGAUUAAAAGAAUCUACUUGCGAUUUGAAGAUAAAAUUUUGAAUGAGUGAUUAAAGUAUGAGAGAACAUGCAUUAAGGAGUAAAGUGAAAAAAAAAAGGAAUGAUUAUUUACAUAUGAGUAAUUUGACCAAAGGAACAAUGUGUGAAAAUAUUAGCAUGAAUAAGUAAGUGUUAAAAGAAUGAAAAUAUAAGAUAUUAUAUAGUGAUAUGUGGAAUAUUUAUAAAUUAACUAAAUGAAUAUUAAUUAAAGGAUACAGUUUGGAAGUUUUUGAUUUAUGUGCAAAGAUUAACUAUUUGAGUGAAAAGCUAGAUAUAGAAAUUUACUCUAAAUGAUUGGUAAGAGUGAAAAAAAAUAAUUUUUGAACAAUCUUAGUAGAUAAUGGAUAAACUAAAAGAAUUAAUUUAAUGAAUGGAAUGAGUAUGGUAUAGAAAAAAUGUAUCAAAAUAUUUAUGACAUAGAAAAUUAUCCUAUCAAUACAAAGAAAUAUUCGCACUAAAAAAGAGUUAUCAUUCAAUGAGUAACUAAAUACCAUCUCUCGAGUCAUAGUCUUGAAACAUAAAUUGUGAGUCAAGCCCAAAUUACUACAAGGCCCAAGUCGCUAAAAGAAAAGCACAACAAUUCAAUUCUAAUGUCUUUACAAAUUAUGUCUAUUCAAAAUGUGUUAGUUGAAGAAUAAUUUACAUAUAGAGAGGUCUGAAAGGCAUGCUAGUAUAGCUUUAAGAAAAUACGAUAAAAUGAUUUGUUUUUAUUUUCAUGAAAAGAGGAUGAAAUGUUUUAUUUUAGGUAUACAACUAACCAAAUUGAUUAUGUGUAUGUUAAUUCUAAUUGAUUGACCAAGUUUAAUAUACAUAUUUAACAACCCAAGCGUUCAUACAAAUUAUGUGAAUUAUCUAAUGUAUAAUGUUACAAGUAACCGGAAUAUUACUAAAUGCAAUUCACCCUAAGUGUUUGAAAAAUAGGUAAAUAUCAAAGCAAGCAAGAAAACAUAAUAUUUAUCUACUACUUUACUAUACUUUGCGUUUUGGAUACAUCCAAGAAUAUGAAGUGUGAAGCGGGGAGCUUUGACGGGUACUUGUCUUUUCGUCUUUGGGUGACGUCUCCCGAAAGCAACUCCAUGUGAUAGUACCUCGCAAGACAAGAAAAGUAAAAUUAUUAGUAAAGUAUAAAGCAAAAUAAUAAACUAAUUUAUUUUUUCUUGAAAUGACUUUAUUUAAAGACGUUUUUCGAAUAUUGUCAUUUAAAAAUGAUUUAAGAAAAUACUUUUAAAUAUUAUUUUUGUUUUCUUUGAAAAUGGUUAAGAAAAUACUUUUUGGAAAGCAAUUCUGUGAAAAAAUGUUUUUCAAGAUAUCUUUUGGAAAGUAAUUUUUGGAAAAUAUUUUUAAAAUAAUAUAGGAAAACACUCUUUUUAAAAUGAUUUAAAAGAAUUUUUGGAAGCUCAGAUGGUGUAUGCCAUAUAACAAUAAGAUAUUAGAACAUGAACGUCGACUUUGUAGCAACUCCGGUGGCCAACCAUGUUGCCUCCUGAAGCACAGACAUUCACAUUCUCGUCUUUUGUUUUUCCUUUGGCUUUCGUCAUCGCCUCAUAAAUGUAUUUUGGUUCCGGAUCCGAGAGACCGUGUAGUAUCUUGUCUUUUAUCAGUCAAAAAUCAUCACAAGGCCUCAAAUAUUUUGUUCUCAUCGGCCUAAUUUAACAACGCAGUAUCUCGUUCAAAUCAGUCAAGGUCCACUACAAACGUUCAUCGAGAACAAACAGUGAGGCAAGAACAAACACUCCAAAAUUCUCGAAACAUAAAUCAUCAAAACACAGUAGGCAACGGUCCAAAAGAGGCAGCAUCGUGACAAAUUACAGCAGUUGAACGAAUCCAAAGGACAAAGAAAUACAAAGAUAAUUAUUUAACAAAAUCUUCUGCCUUUGGGACAAAUUCGAGCAAACGACUAGGAAAUAAUAUGGUGAGUUUAAUGAACCAUUUUCAGCAACACAACAAAGGCAAUAUUAGGUAGAAAAAUAAACAUUUCAAAUCCCCUGGGGUUGCCGGAAAAACGUCAAUCCAGCCAGAAUAUCCAACAGCAGCAAUGGUAUCACAAUGUCACUAUAACCAAAUAAGCCUCACAAAAUAAUGAACGCAUCACAAAAGAAAGGAGGUUCGCCGGAGAUCUGGCCAAAUAACAGAGGUCGACAGCGAAGGAUGAAAAGCAAUGGUUGUUGGCUUUACUUCCACGAUGAACGCCAGAGUAACGCCUAACAUCAAAGAAGUCACCGACGUUAGCUUCAUUUCCGGCCAGAUUCAAAACAUCCCAAACCUCCCCUUUUUUGAUAGCCUGUAAGAAGGAAGAAAGAGGAGAGUGAGUAACAGAAAAUGAGCGAAAAUAGAGGUCCAGAUCUGCCGCUUUCCAUGGAGGUAGCCGGUGUUUGAGUUUCCGGCUAGAUCUAAAGCCAACGAGAUCGAACCCUCAAAGCUAACAAACGAUUAGGAAAAUGGGAAAAAGGGGAUAACUGCCAGCCAUGGCCGUUGGUGGCUGGCCGACGACGAAAACAGGGGGGGCAAGGAGGAGCUUGGCGGCAGAUCUCUCAAGUGAUAGAGAAGAUGGAGCUCUCAAAGGGGUUAGCGGU